rnacentral:rRNA from 1 species
AUUGAACGCUGGCGGCAGGCCUAACACAUGCAAGUCGAGCGGAUGAAGGGAGCUUGCUCCUGGAUUCAGCGGCGGACGGGUGAGUAAUGCCUAGGAAUCUGCCUGGUAGUGGGGGAUAACGUCCGGAAACGGGCGCUAAUACCGCAUACGUCCUGAGGAGAAAGUGGGGGAUCUUCGGACCUCACGCUAUCAGAUGAGCCUAGGUCGGAUUAGCUAGUUGGUGGGGUAAAGGCCUACCAUGGCGACGAUCCGUAACUGGUCUGAGAGGAUGAUCAGUCACACUGGAACUGAGACACGGUCCAGACUCCUACGGGAGGCAGCAGUGGGGAAUAUUGGACAAUGGGCGAAAGCCUGAUCCAGCCAUGCCGCGUGUGUGAAGAAGGUCUUCGGAUUGUAAAGCACUUUAAGUUGGGAGGAAGGGCAGUAAGUUAAUACCUUGCUGUUUUGACGUUACCAACAGAAUAAGCACCGGCUAACUUCGUG